rnacentral:rRNA from 15 species
AGGUGCGAUCAUGCAAGCACUAAAGCACUAGAUCCUAUCAGAACUCCGAAGUUAAGCUUGCUUGGGCGAGAGCUGUACUAGGAUUUGUGACACCCUGGGAAGUCCUAGUGUUGCACUCA